ACCGCCGUCGAUCACGACGUUAAAUUUGAUCUCACUGAAACAAGCUUAAUUCUCUUCUCCUGCAACUUGUGGUUGAAAUAGAGCAUAUAUGCAUCCACACAUGCAUGAAUGUCUGACUGACCGACGUGCAACCCAUCAACUCUAAUCGGAUGUGCGUCGUUAAGUGUUAAUUCUAUAUCAUCGACGUGCAGGUUGUGUUUGAAAGACCUUCGUGCUCGCAACUUAU
rnacentral:lncRNA from 1 species